AAACCAACAGGGAUUGCCCCAGUAACGGCGAGUGAAGCGGCAACAGCUCAAAUUUGAAAUCUGGCAUCAGCCCGAGUUGUAAUUUGUAGAGGAUGCUUCGGGUGCGGUCCGGUCUAAGUUCCUUGGAACAGGACGUCACAGAGGGUGAGAAUCCCGUACGUGACCGGGUGCCUAGCCUAUGUGAAGCUCCUUCGACGAGUCGAGUUGUUUGGGAAUGCAGCUCAAAAUGGGUGGUAAAUUUCAUCUAAAGCUAAAUAUUGGCCAGAGACCGAUAGCGCACAAGUAGAGUGAUCGAAAGAUGAAAAGCACUUUGGAAAGAGAGUUAAACAGCACGUGAAAUUGUUGAAAGGGAAGCGUUUGCAACCAGACUUGCGCGCGGCUGAUCAUCCGGUGUUCUCACCGGUGCACUCGGUCGUGCUCAGGCCAGCAUCAGUUCUGGUGGUCGGAUAAAGGCCGUGGGAAUGUGGCUCUUCGGAGUGUUAUAGCCCACGGUGCCAUGCGGCCUACCGGGACUGAGGACCGCGCUUCGGCUAGGAUGCUGGCGUAAUGGUUGUCAACGAC
rnacentral:rRNA from 1 species